UUUUAACAGCACUCCACUUGGCAGGUUAAAGAGGGAACAGCAUCCUCUGUGAGCUGUGCUUUAUGGGGAACAAAUGCAUUAGCUGGGAGAAGUGCUCCUGACAGCGCUGCCGUGCUAUCGCUCUGCGCAGGAAAUAGCUUAAUCCUAUCAUAAUCUCCCUGCAAUUUUCUUCUGUAUUUUGAUGUAUAUUGUUCCAAAGAUACAAUUUUAUUUGAAAUAGAGUUUAUUUCAGACUCAAAUGUGUCAAAUUUAAUUUCAAGAGUUUUUAUUGUAGGGGAAAAUCUUUUUUUAGUGAGAGAUUAGAACUGUAGUAAAUAACUGGCACUGAGAUGCUGCUCUGUGAAUUUAACUGUUUCCAAGCCCUGGCCAAACAACAUCCAAUGUUAUGUUUGGAAGGGCCGUUCCCAUGGGGGCUGAGCACUGUUGGGAGUGCAGUUUUUUGGACAGCCUGGAUCGGUUUUGGGUGGAAACCACUGCUGUGUCACUUCGGAGGGCUCAUUCCAGCAGACUUAGGUGAUGCAGUGCAGUGUGGAAACCGAGAAUCCAAGUCCUUGUUUGAGUCUACCUACAGCACAUCCAUACCACC
ensembl:lncRNA